rnacentral:misc_RNA from 1 species
GAUGAAGAACGUAGCGAAAUGCGAUAAGUAAUGUGAAUUGCAGAAUUCAGUGAAUCAUCGAAUCUUUGAACGCAUCUUGCGCUCCUUGGUAUUCUGAGGAGCAUGCCUGUUUGAGUGUCAUUAAAUUCUCAACUACACUGACUUUGAAUUGGUGUGGCUUGGAUUUGGGGGGAAAAUUGUUGUGGGCUUUUUGUAUAGUCUGCUCCCCUGAAAUUGAUUAGCGGUACCUUUGUGGAACUGUCUACAGGUGUGAUAAUUAUCUACAUCUUAGACAUCUGCUGGAAUGCUGCUUUCUAAACCUUACUUGUAUUGACAAUCUUGACCUCAAAUCAGGUAGGACUACCCGCUGAACUUAAGCAUAUCAAUAAGCGGACGA